CCCUGAAGUGAAUGUGAUAAUUGUAAUAGAGCCCGUAAGUAUGAACACGCUCUUGACGUAAUUUUGUUUCAUGUCUGACAUUAUAAAAGGAAAGUUCGUGUUCCUUGAAAUUUCGGGCAAGAACUAUAUGACAUGGGUGUUGAAUGCUGUAAUCCAUUUGGAUGCAAUGGGUCCUAGAGACGCCAUUAAAGACAGAAAUAAUGCAUCCACCC
rnacentral:lncRNA from 1 species